rnacentral:lncRNA from 1 species
CGUAGGACGAGGCUUAUAGCACAGGUCCUAGACCUUUCUAGGUUCUACCAACCUGAAACAUUGGUAUUAUUCUACUAUUGGCAGUAAUAGCAACAGCAUAUACAGGUUACAUCCUAUCAUGAGGACAAAUAUCUUUGUGAGGGACAACAGUAAUCACAAACCUAUGAUCAGCUCCCCAUGCACUGGUACUAACUUGGUGGAAUGAAUCUGGGACAGAUUUUCAGUUGACAAACCCCCCUUCCAUGAUUCAUCACCUUCCACUUCAUUUUCCCUUUUAUCAUCGCUGCCCUAGUAGCUGUUCACCUUCUAUUUCUCCAUGAAACAGGAUCCAACAAACCCUCAGGAAUCUCAUCAGAUUCUGCAAAAUCGCAUUUCAUCCAUAGUACACAAGCAAAGAUGUCUGAGGCUUAACUCUCCUUCUACUGUGAUUACUCCUCCGAGUCCUGUUUUCACCCUGACCUAUCAGGAGACCCAGACAGCUACACCCCCAGCAAAUCCCCUUAACACACCACCCAACAUUUAACCAACGUUAAACCAGAAUGAUAUUUUCUAUUUUCCUAUGCGA